GGGAGAGGAGACGGUCGGUCCCUCUCCCCAGUGGCCGAGUGUGUUACAGGGAGUGGAGACAACCGGUCUCACUCCCCAGCGGCAGUGUGUAUUCCAGAGAGAGAAGUGUGUCGCCAUUCCUCCCCAGCGGCAGAGUGUGUUACAGGGAGUGGAGACAACCGGUCUCACUCCCCAGCGGCAGUGUGCAGUACAGGGAGCGGAGUGUGUCAUCCUUCCUCCUCAGCGGCAGAGUGUAUUAUUGGG